AAGAAGGCUCAGUUUUCGCCUCAAAAGCUAUGAAGUAAUUGGAUCAAUGCUUGAGCUAAAUGGGCCAGCGGGUAGUCAUUUGCAUCUAGGUGAGGCCGGCCUGUUAAAUUCCCCUCUGGCCCAUAACCACCGUCUUCCCCAUCAAACUGUGAGCUUUCCCCACCGGAGUCUCACCGAGUCAUCAUCUCUCGCAACUUCACGGAAUCACAGCAAAGCAAAACGUCGCAACCCGAGACCCUGGAUCCGAUCCGACCUUGAUCCGAUCACACCAUGUCCUGCUUAGCCCUCUCUCUUCAACCCGCCAAUGGAUCCGACAUCCUGCUCCAAACCCGAGAAUGGUUCCCGCCUGCCCGGGCCCUCGUCGCCGUCUCCUCCUUCCGCCAGACCCGCCUAGCUUUCGCCGCCGCCAAGCAGCAACAACUCCCCACCACCAAAGACAAUUCCCACAGCCACUCUGACUCUUCCUCCGAUACCACUGCCGACUCCGUCGCCUCCCUCGGGCGACGACCCACUCGCAGCCUCGAGUGGCCAGCUCAUCGUGGGUGUCGAAUCUCGGUACCGGGUCGUCUACCGCCUCGUCAACUCCAUCUACGUCCUCGGCGUCACCACCGCCGAUCACGACAACUCGAUCAACGUCUUCGAGUGCAUCCACAUCGUCAACCAGGCCGUCAGCGUCAUAGUCACCGCUUGCCGCGGCGUCGAUGUUACUCCGGAGAAGCUGAGUCGGAAGUACGCCGCCGAGAUCUACAUGGCUCUCGACAUUGUUCUGAGAGGUGUCAGCAAUAUUCGAUUAGCGGCGAUGCUUUCGUCGAUGCACGGCGACGGCAUUGCCAAGAUGGUGCACUCGGCGUUGGACACUGAGAACAAGAUCCGUGGGGCGGAGAAUUGGAGAGCCGUUGAGGCGCUUUCCGUCGAACACGAGGCGGGCAUUGUGGCGUUCAACAAUUUAGGGUUUGAAUUGCCGCCGGAGACGAUCGCUGCUGGAGAUGAGGUGGCGGCUAGCUUGGCGCCGGUGGUGCAGAGUGAGGAGAAGGAUCAGAAUUUAGAGAAUGAGGACGAGAGCCAAGCUGAGAAGGACCCAUUUGCGGCAAGCGAGAAGAUUAAUCAGCCUGAAGAGCUGGUGAGUGGGUUCAAGAAGAACAAGGAUCCUUCCGCCACGGACCUAACAACAGCGCUGGCGACACUUGAAGUGACUACAUUGCCUCCGGCAGAGGCGACCCAGAGUACCCAUAUUGCGGUGGAAGGGUUUGAAGGGGAGUAUGGUGGGAUUGAGUUUGGGAAUGACCAAGCUUCUUUGGGUGAGACUUUUGAAGGGUUUAGUGAUGCUUGGGGAGGUGGGUUGGAUGCUUCUGAGUUUGUUGGAUCGAAGAAGGUUGCGAAGAAAGAAGGGCUGGGCGGGCUUGAAUUGUUGCAGACCGGGCCUGAUGCUCCAAAAACUGCUGAUGCCACUGCCGGUGGUGCAGCAGCAGGUACUCCCCUUGAUACCCUUGUAAAAAGUGAAAUGAAGGGUCCUGAGAUGCACGUUGUGGAAGAGAUCAGUGCUGAGUUUAGAGAGUCAUUGCUUGCUAGAGUGGGAUUAAUGGGUGUUGUUUAUUUGAGAACUUUGCCUACCAAAACUAGUGGUGAUAAAGAGACCGAAUUUUCUUUCCGGGUUGAGGGAACCAGCCCGGUUAAGAGGUUUAUUAUGCAGAAUUCUCGCGUUAGUAGUCUGGGGAACGGAUUGUUUCAUGUGAGGACCGCAGCCUCCGAUGAGCCUUUACCCAUUUUGAAGUAUAGUCUGCUGCCCAGGUUGACACCAUUGCCCUUGAGGGUUCGUCUUGUGCAACGCCAUACAGGAAGCUUACUUUCUGUGAUGAUACAGUAUGUGUCAAACCCUGAGUUGCCAGCGCCUUUGACUGAUGUGACAUUUGUUUUAAAACUCCCACUUGAUCCUACAUUGUUGAAGGUAUCACCAAAAGCUAUAUUAAGUAGGUCUGAUAAAGAACUGAAAUGGCAUAUCCCCGAGAUUCCGUUGAAUGGAUCUCCUGGUCGGUUGAGGGCAAGGAUGCCUGUGGAUUCUAAUGAAGGAGAUGGCAGUGAGGAGAUUGAAGUUGUUGCUUAUGUGAAGUUUUCUUGGCAAGGAACUAAAUCAUUGUCUGGAGUUUGUUUGCGGCCAGCUUCCAAGGGUAAUACAGACUUUUAUGAGGUUAAUCACAGGUAUGAGAAUGGGUUAUAUAUGUGCAAUUAAUAGACCCAUGAUGAAGUCACUGUUGUAUUGUAGAGUAGAGGGUUGUGUCUCCUUUUAUGUUGUUUAUUUUGAGAGGUUUCUGUUGAUUGUAUCUUGUUGUAGCAUUCUUUGAUAAUGAGCUUGUAGCUUAGUUUAUCGGUCAUUUGAAAGCUUUAUGUCUUUGUGUAUUGUGUGAAUGGAUAUACAAGUUUCUCUUUACAUGCUA